UACGUAGGGGGCAAGCGUUGUCCGGAUUUAUUGGGCGUAAAGAGCGUGUAGGCGGCUUGGUAGGUCCGCUGUGAAAACUCGAGGCUCAACCUCGAGACGCCGGUGGAGACCAUCAGGCUAGAGUCCGGAAGAGGAGAGUGGAAUUCCUGGUGUAGCGGUGAAAUGCGCAGAUAUCAGGAAGAACACCCGUGGCUAAGGCGGCUCUCUGGGCCUUACCUGACGCUGAGGAGCGAAAGCGUGGGUAGCGAACAGG
rnacentral:rRNA from 1 species